rnacentral:rRNA from 1 species
UACGGGGGGAGCAAGCGUUGUUCGGAUUUACUGGGCGUAAAGGGCGCGUAGGCGGUCAGCACAAGUCAGUUGUGAAAUCUCCGGGCUUAACUCGGAAAGGUCAACUGAUACUGUGCGACUAGAGUGCGGAAGGGGCAACUGGAAUUCUCGGUGUAGCGGUGAAAUGCGUAGAUAUCGAGAGGAACACCUGCGGCGAAGGCGGGUUGCUGGGCCGACACUGACGCUGAUGCGCGAAAGCUAGGGGGAGCGAACGGG